UGAGCCUUCACAUUAGCCCGAGGAACC
rnacentral:piRNA from 1 species